UGCACAAUUGUCUCCCUCGAAGCGAACGCCAAUUCUCCAUGGACUGCUAAGAACGGAAGCCUCUCUUCCCGAACCCCUCUCCUUCCCUCGAUCCAAAUUUUAAACCCUUCUCCUCCCUUUUCCUAGUCCGAUCACAAUCCCACAAGCCCCUCUUCAUCGUGAUGAAGCUCGCUAACGGCGAAAUCUAGGGCACCAAAUCCCUCGUUAGGCCGUGGCUUGCCUUGGCGUCGUCAAUCUGCUCGAGUACGCGAAAUCCCCGCCCGUCGCAGAUGGUUCCCUGGUGAUAGGGUUUCUGAAAGGUGGAUAUAAGAUCAUGACGAACACUGUGAAAGUUCCUGACGGAUUCAUGGGUUUGGAAUUAAAUUCGGUGCUCAGAGAUUGCAUAGAUGCACAGGGAUUUCCGGUUGAGGCAGCGACUUUCGGGAGAGGCAUUAAACGCUGGCUUUUGAUCGAGCAGGGCACGAAGUACCAGCUUGAGUGUUGAUUUGUGAGAGGCAUGUCGAGUCAUGGGAUUCGUUUGAGCUGCAAAAAGAUUGGAUCUUGAUGGGUUUCAUGGACGUGCCAGAGUUUUCCGUGCGGAACAAUUUCCUUUGCCGGAGGGAGUUCUGAUAGGUGAGAUGGCUUCAGGCUCGUUCUCUUGUUUCCAUCACUGAUGAUUGGAAAAUGUGCUGCAAAAAUAAAUGUAUCAUGUACUGAACUCUUUUUCCGUGAGUUUUCAUUGACAAUGUCACUGGGGUCAUUUGCAGGGGAGAUUGCUUAAUUGAUGGAUAUCUAUUUACCAUAUCUCAAUAUUUCUGAAGGGCGCAUGAGGAAAAUGCAGAUUUCUAAACUGUGAGGAGCUUUCUAGGAAUAGAUACGUGGAGCAGCAAUAAAAAAUGGGAAAAGUGUGUGCUUACUUCUUCGUCAUCAUCGAAUUCAUGGUUGCUGGAACUGGGUUUUGUUAUCUCCCCAAAUUCAUCAUUCCUAGCAAACCGUCCACGGACUCUUGGUCGGCUGUCUGCUAGAGUUUUCCUACAAGCAUACUGCAAGCAUUGUGAUCAGUUUUGGUGGUUAGCUGUUAAAUCAUUUAAUCUGUAUUUCAAUUAAUUUUUGAACCAUGCAUUUUACCUUGAUCUUUUUGCUGAAGUUUCUUUCAUUUCUCUUCUUCAUGUAUCUGUGGAUCUUCUCCUUCCUCUCCUCGACGGACAAGCGGCCUACUUUGAAGGUGGUAUCAUCCAUGACCGGGAUGUCGGAUGCUGGCAGCAGCAUCGGUUUGCCACUGCCUCCGGCCAUCAGACGUUGGCUGCCUCCUCGAAUUACCUUUAUAAGGCAAAUGAAACUGUAUACUAACUUUAUAUAAAGAAGCCAAGGUAUGUCAUCCAUAUUUACUGUCUUUAGGGGAAAAAAAAAAAAAAAAGUCAUGACUACAGCACCAGGUUCAGACCAAUUGUCAUCAGAUACUGGAUAAGCUGGAUCUAUUCUUCUGUUCGUUAGUGAUGUGGUCAGAUGAAAAAUGCGGGCUUUGAUUCCCGGUUUUAUCUUGUAUAAUUUAUGGAUUGCGUGGGAUAAUGGAUCAACAGUUGAAGCA